GGCAGGGACAGCCGGCACCGGACACAUCCACCGGCCCCGAUCGCUGACAGCAACCACAGGAACCUGGUCACACGAGACACGCUUCCUGGUCAUUGUUUAUAGUAGAACUUGGACAGAGGAUCUGGGGGAAGUACCAGAGUGCUGACAUUUAUAGGAUGAAAAUGACAUGUCCUGUGAAAUUGUUUGAUACUACAGUAUCAGCCCUGGACAGAGCAGUGGAAGGGUUGGCCACACAUUGUCAGAAGUAAUGGUGACUGCCAUUAACUGCACAGCCAAUGUAUAUUUCCAAGAAAUGAAAUUGAUUCCAAUUGAUUUGGAAUACCACCAGCAGAGGAGGACAGUCUCAAGCUCCACAUCAAGGUGUGCUGAGCUCCACCUGCCUUCCUCUGCUCAGUGGGAGCUCUCUUCAUCUGCUCACCCACCACAGAGCUCCUGUGCCACCUGCUGCUUUCCCUCUUUUAAGGGCACAUUACCAAAUGCGUCUGUUGCAUUUGCAUUCAGUGAUUCUCUGCAUUUUGUGAAUGAACAUGGAUGGCACUCAUGGCAUGGUACUCCUGAUGAACUGGCACUGCACGUGCUGCUGUGUUGCAGAUUCUGUACUGCCUUAGUGUGUAACUCUGAACUCCACAUAAAGUGUCAGCAGUUCUCCUCUCGGCUCAGUCCCACAGAACAAUCCUUUUCCAGCCCAGAACCAAG